rnacentral:misc_RNA from 1 species
GCCGAAACGAAUUUACAUGACAAAAUUCGACUGCUAUAUAUGUAGCUUACUUGCUCCUGUAGUCAAGGCCGGGUGCUCGGACCUGGAGCAUUCCUCCUCCGCCGGCUCUGUCCUCGAUCACGAAUGGCAUGUGCGUCCCAAACACCCUGUCCCAGACGACGAAGAAGAGCUGAGAGAAGUUGUACUGGCCGCCACGCAGCUGGUGGUGCACGUCGUGGUACGCCGCGCUGUUCCAGAGGCCCAGGCGAUCCCAGCAGGGCAGCAGCGACAGGCCGCAGUGGUUGUCGACGACCUUGACGGUGCAGAGCGAGAAGAAGAAGACGGAGGCCCGCGGCGACAUGCCGGACACCAGGAAGGCCGCCGUGCCGCCGACGGUGUCCGCGACGAAGCCCUCGAGCGGG